AAAUAAAUAUUAAAAUAAAUAAAAAUAUCAACAAAAAUAAUGGUGAUGGGUCUAGAAGUUUGUACUCGCGCGGGCUAAAACUAAGCUCGUGCGAGCUCAAUCUAAGCUCGCACGAGUCUGUCUAGAUAGUGCUUGACCUUGACCUUGCACGUGCGCAACCUAAAUGCAGGCAUGCGCAGCUUAAACUCGCGCGAGUCCAAUGUGUACUCGCACAAGUCAAGUAGUUGACAUGGGGGCAGGGGCUGUGCAUCUACCCUUGCACCUGCUCACCUUGAGCUGGCACAUGUCUAGCCUAAGCUCACGUGAGUCCUCGCUAUGUCCUCGAGCAAGCCGAGCCUAGACAAAGGUCAGCACUUAGUUGACAUGUAGCUCAUUCAUUGGAUGUUUGAUUUGGGUGAGAUUUUUCCAUCCAAUAGACAAGCAACACUUGGCAAGCCCUAUAAAAAUAAAUAAAAACUUUGUGACAAAGUUUAGAGUUUUGGAGAUUUGGGAUUUGGUAUAAAAAAUUAAGAGCUUUUGUGAAAAAGAGAGCUUUUGACUUGUUUUAAAAAAUUUAUUUCUAAAAGAAAAAAUACAAAAAUCUUAAAUUCUCUUAUUUGGGCCAUUUUUCUUGGUGAAAUGUUAUUACAUUUUUUUUAGAAUUUGGAAGGUUAAGUCAUUUUCAAAACAACAAAGAUAGCCACUUGAGGGCAAAAUAAUUACUCUUAACUCCGUUUUCACUUUCUUCUCAUUCAUUGCAUCUAAAUUUUAUUUAUUUUCUUUUGCUUUUUUUUUUUAUCUUAUUUAUUUAUUACUGUUCCUUUAUUCCAUCCCAUGCAUCAUCAUUUUUAAUUUUUAUCCAUGCAUAUUUUCCCAUAAAAUAAUUUUAUCUACAAUAAAUAUUUGCCAUUUAUAAUCUCUGUCAUCUUCUGGAUGGGUUGAGCUCACACGCGGUCAACCUCCUUCACCCUAGAUCACUUGCCGUUUCAUUUAUAUGCUUAUGCUUUUUGACUAAAAUAUGUCAUUUAAUGGCCAUAGGGACCUGAACUAUUAAGCUCACAUAAGGUCACCCUCUGCGCGCGCAAGGUCAGGGAGCCCAAGGCCUUAAACCAAUAUCGCCUAGCCUUUGGAGUCAUGUUUGGUGUGUUCCAAGGAUUGGGCUCUAAGCAUAGGCGAGGUCACCCUUUACUCGUGCAAUCCAUUGAUCAUUUGAACCCAAAUAGAGAUUCAUAGGGUUAAACGACAUCGUGUUAAUUGUGGUUAGAGUUUACAGUCUGAUCUCGCGAGGAUUGCUCAUUCCAAGGACUACUCACGCGAGUUCACUUCUCUCUUCCUUAGCAAAUGAGUUAGCUUCAAAAUGAAGCUGUGAGCCCUUUCUAUGUCUUGAUAUAGUAACCUCGCGCGAGGUUAGCCUCUGUGAUGAGAUAGAUAUAUUUUUAAUUUAUUUCAUAAUAUUUCUCUUAUUUUUAUCUAAUUUUGUUCAUGCUAGCUUUAAUUAAAUUACCUACCUAUUUAAUUUACUUCAUUGUGCUUUUAAUAAUGCCUUAAUUCUAAUUCCUAAAUGCAGAGUAAUUAGCCCAUGAAGGUUCGUCCCUUGAGGAGGACUGAGAGUUUAUUUGUUUAUUUUUAUAUUUGAUUUUGUGAUUUGAACUAAGGCCACUAGGACUAUUUACAUGUGUAGUAUUCCCCUCAUUACUCUCGCUUUUCUUAAUCAUUUUCUGGUUCCAUUCUCCCCCCAUUUCUAUGUAUAUUUAAAUUCAUGCUUAGGAUCACCUCACAGUGUGAAAAAGGAUAAAACUGGACUUAGUAAAUGAUGUGAUCACUUCACAUGCAAGGAUAAUAAAAUGGAACCUUACCAAAGUAAGUCCCCCACGUCUCACAUAUUUUUUACCUCAAAUACUAAGGCUAAAAUGAAUCUGACACUAUAUUAGGGUUAAUAAAAAUGCAAAUGAUGUGGGGCAUCAAGGCAUACUAGGGCACCAAUGUACCCCCAUUUAGGAUUAGUCAAGAUACCAAAGUACCCCGUACUUAUAUUAGUCCUUGUUUUUCUCACCUCACAUGCUAAUAAGAUGAAAAAGAUUGGUGAAUAAAAUGAAUAUAGGAUAAACUUAGAGUAAGACGAUUUUAUUAGGGUAUAUAACGGUUCGUCUGCUCUAGUAGAGGCUAGACUUCACUGCCUAGGUGGAUAGAAGUGCUUUCGAAAACCUUCCAUCUUCGUACCUAACUUUCCAAACUUAGAAUCUCUGAUUUUAGGGAGGGAAAAAUUUAAGCUCUCAAUGAGAGAUACAAAACUGUUAUCCUCACUCAUGAACUGUCUCGAUCUCAUUGGAUAGCAAAUUAUUCUUCAAAAUGGUCUUAAGACUAUUUCGUAAUCUUUUAAAACCCUCAACCGAACAACUCAUUUUGAAAUGGGCUUAGUGCAAAGUGCGAUUCCCGAACUAGCAAUGGAUGCCAUAAAAAUUCGACCGCUUACCAUAGGUACAUAAAGUCGACCUUUCUUGCUAAGUUUUUUUUAUGAGAAUGUCAUGGUAAGUGCUCUAAAUGAUGAGGACAUAAAAAGUUAGAAAUCGGAUUUGGUAAGGCAGAUGUUCAAUCCUCUGGGUGCCCAAGCAAUUCUUUACACUCUCUUAAGUUUUCAAUUACCUGCAGACAAAAAGAUUUAGAAAUGUUGGGGUGCUCAAGCAAUUCUUAACACUCUCUUAAGUCUUCAAUUACCUAUAGACAAAAAGAUUUAGAAAUGUCUUGAGGAACGAUGUAUUUACAGUUCAAUCAACAUACCAUCACACUUCUCAAAUGGUGUCUGCUUUGAAUUCGUUGAGAUCUUCCUCUUCAUUUAUUAACCCUGUUUGGGAAAAAAAAUUGGCAAAUGGAAGUUCCUCCAAAAGUGAGACAUUUCACAUGGCAAGCUUGCAUUGAUUCUCUAGCAACUAAGGACAACAUGAGGCGCAGAGGUUCUGAGGUAGACAUAACAUGUGUUAUAUGCGGUGAGGGAGCUGAAUCUUUAAACCCCUUACUAUUUAAUUGUCCUAUGGCGGCUGAGAGAUGAAGUUCCAGGCACAUGUCACUAUUGAUAUGGCUAUGAAUCAAUGGCUUAAAUCUAAAGGAGAUGGAGUUGGUCAAGAUGUGCAGGCAAGCAAUCAAAUCUUUACAUAGCAAUCACUAAUCUCGUGUAAAUGGGAACAUAUGUAUGGAUGGUUUUCACUUGUUAAACACACAUGUAGCUCUGUAUAAAGAUGGUUCGAUAGGCUUUGACUUUGUAUAUAGAAACAAGAUGGGGGAACUGAUGUUAGCGGGAUAAAAGAGGAUGAGAAUGUCAGGUAAUUGCAAGCUUCUGAUUGAUAGCAAGAUUUUAGUAACCCAGAGUGAUAGCAAGCUUCUGAUUGAUGAAAUUCUGGGUAAAGGUAUUUCAGAUUCCUUUGGGGGGCUUUUAGUUGAUGAUAUUAUUCAUUUAGUGCCAAAUAUCGAGACUGCUAUUUCGAAAAAAUUCGUAAAGUUGAGAACAAGGUUGCACAUUUUCUAGCCCAUUAUCAAAUGUUGUUGAUUGUAAGAAUAUUUGAAUUGGGGAUGUCCCUCCAAAUGUUGCUCAGAUCUUGUCAAAUGAUGCAAGACUUUGGCCUUCUGUUUCGCA